CAGCCGCCACGGGAAUACGGAGGGUGCAAGCGUUAAUCGGAAUUACUGGGCGUAAAGCGCACGCAGGCGGUCUGACAAGUCAGAUGUGAAAUCCCCGGGCUUAACCUGGGAACUGCAUUUGAAACUGUCAGGCUGGAGUCUUGUAGAGGGGGGUGGAAUUCCAGGUGUAGCGGUGAAAUGCGUAGAGAUCUGGAGGAAUACCGGUGGCGAAGGCGGCCCCCUGGACAAAGACUGACGCUCAGGUGCGAAAGCGUGGGGAGCAAACAGGAUUAGAUACCCGCGUAGUCCCUGUCUCUUAUAC
rnacentral:rRNA from 1 species